AAAACACGCGAUUGCUCCUGCCCCCUUUAUUAAAGUUCUAAUGCUUUUGGCGAAUGUCUUUGCUGCGUUUUCUCUUUCCUAACAGAAUUUGCCGUUUUCAGUGGAAAACAAGUGGCGGUUACUGCUUAUGAUGACCGUGUACUUUGGAUCUGGAUUUGCUGCUCCUUUCUUUAUAGUAAGGCACCAGCUACUUAAAAAAUAAGGAUAUUUAAUUCAUCCCAUUAACAGGUAAUUAUUGUUUCUAAUUUUUCUACAACAGUAAUUUUUGUUCUGUACCCUAUACACUCCUACAACAUAAAAGUGGAUAGUUGUCUGCUGAUUCCUGAAGGUGAGUAUAAAUGUAUAUUGUAUAAAUAUUGGUAGAGGCAAUUUGGGAAACCUAUAAAAAAAUAAGUUUUGGUCAGUAAAGGUCAGUAUUUAACAAGUACUCCUUUACACGAUCUGAACAUCUGUGCAACACACCUGUAAGGUAAGUAAUAUUAAAACCCCAUGGAAGACACACAGUUGAUUGAGGUUCCAUAGCUAAUUGCACUGGUGUAGGCUUCCUACAUGGGGUAAUCUUGUUCUGUGUAUCACACUUCAUAAUCAGUCUUGUGUCUUCUACUAAAAAUAACUGAAUCUUCUGGGAUUAAAAAUGCACUAGGGAUAUCCAACCUUUAACAUUACCAAGUGUCAUUGACAUCCACAAAGUUGAUGGGGAAGAAACCGUGAAGUGUUCUGGUGUUUCAUUUCUACCAAUGCUAGUGUCUGUUCUGCGGUAUUAGUAAGUUAGUCUGCUGAAGUUGAGAAAUAGUAAGUUCCUCCAUGUCCACAGAAAUGUUGCAUAGUGAUAGCCUAGAUCCCUUCAUAUACAUACAGGUUUAUUGAGCGAAAUUUAUCCAGCAUUUUGGUACAUGUGAUGAAGCAAAUCAGUAUGAAUAAAAUGAUACUGUAAACGCUUUCUGAUGUAUCAAAUUGGUAGAUGAUAUGAAAUUGUUGUAACCUGUAAAGUCAAGCUUCUAAUGCCAUUAAUUUUGCUUUUAUUUUGCAGAAUGAAGAAAGUUUAAGAGAUAUGAUCUGGAAAUUGGAUUAAACUCUUGAACUCUUAUACUAGAAAAAAAUGUAAAUAAACUAAUGAUAUAAAUAUUUAA
rnacentral:lncRNA from 1 species